rnacentral:rRNA from 1 species
UGAGGGAAAGGCGAAAAGAACCCCGGCGAGGGGAGUGAAAAAGAACCUGAAACCGUGUACGUACAAGCAGUGGGAGCACGCUUAGGCGUGUGACUGCGUACCUUUUGUAUAAUGGGUCAGCGACUUAUAUUCUGUAGCAAGGUUAACCGAAUAGGGGAGCCGAAGGGAAACCGAGUCUUAACUGGGCGUUAAGUUGCAGGGUAUAGACCCGAAACCCGGUGAUCUAGCCAUGGGCAGGUUGAAGGUUGGGUAACACUAACUGGAGGACCGAACCGACUAAUGUUGAAAAAUUAGCGGAUGACUUGUGGCUGGGGGUGAAAGGCCAAUCAAACCGGGAGAUAGCUGGUUCUCCCCGAAAGCUAUUUAGGUAGCGCCUCGUGAAUUCAUCUCCGGGGGUAGAGCACUGUUUCGGCAAGGGGGUCAUCCCGACUUACCAACCCGAUGCAAACUGCGAAUACCGGAGAAUGUUAUCACGGGAGACACACGGCGGGUGCUAACGUCCGUCGUGAAGAGGGAAACAACCCAGACCGCCAGCUAAGGUCCCAAAGUCAUGGUUAAGUGGGAAACGAUGUGGGAAGGCCCAGACAGCCAGGAUGUUGGCUUAGAAGCAGCCAUCAUUUAAAGAAAGCGUAAUAGCUCACUGGUCGAGUCGGCCUGCGCGGAAGAUGUAACGGGGCUAAACCAUGCACCGAAGCUGCGGCAGCGACGCUGAUGCGUUGUUGGGUAGGGGAGCGUUCUGUAAGCCUGCGAAGGUGUGCUGUGAGGCAUGCUGGAGGUAUCAGAAGUGCGAAUGCUGACAUAAGUAACGAUAAAGCGGGUGAAAAGCCCGCUCGCCGGAAGACCAAGGGUUCCUGUCCAACGUUAAUCGGGGCAGGGUGAGUCGACCCCUAAGGCGAGGCCGAAAGGCGUAGUCGAUGGGAAACAGGUUAAUAUUCCUGUACUUGGUGUUACUGCGAAGGGGGGACGGAGAAGGCUAUGUUGGCCGGGCGACGGUUGUCCCGGUUUAAGCGUGUAGGCUGGUUUUCCAGGCAAAUCCGGAAAAUCAAGGCUGAGGCGUGAUGACGAGGCACUACGGUGCUGAAGCAACAAAUGCCCUGCUUCCAGGAAAAGCCUCUAAGCAUCAGGUAACAUCAAAUCGUACCCCAAACCGACACAGGUGGUCAGGUAGAGAAUACCAAGGCGCUUGAGAGAACUCGGGUGAAGGAACUAGGCAAAAUGGUGCCGUAACUUCGGGAGAA